CGGAUUGUAGUCUGCAACCCGGCUACAUGAAGCUGGAAUCGCUAGUAAUCGCGGAUCAGAAUGCCGCGGUGAAUACGUUCCCGGGUCUUGUACACACCGCCCGUCACACCAUGGGAGUCGGAAAUGCCCGAAGUCUGUGACCCAACCUCAGGGAGGGAGCAGCCGAAGGCAGGUCGGAUGACUGGGGUGAAGUCGUAACAAGGUACC
rnacentral:rRNA from 1 species